CAGGGAAUCAAGAUCUUUACACCUGAUGAAUACCCCGGUACGAGGAUCUGGAAAUUGUGACUAUACAAUGCAGAAGCAUGGAGGCCUUUAUUUUGUCCCAGCAUUCCAAUCAGGUAGCUGUGGGAUAAUGCAGAUGGAGAGUUAUGUCAGGGACGUUAUCUGGAGUGGAAUUGCUUACCAGCAGGUGAUGUGCUUGUUUUCUUUGCUGGAAGUAAACUCCUGCGGGGCGCGUUUGUGCUGCUACACACUUCCAGAAUUGUCCUAGUCGUACCCUUGGGGAUCUCCUUUGAUGGGCUCAUGAGUGGAACAGUCUCGAUUUGAGGACAUAUUGGGGGCAAAUAAGGUAUUGUAGACAUCCAGCUGAGCGGUUUAUUUGCAGGAUAUUAUCAAGUUGAAGCUAGAGAAACAUAGCCCGGGGGCAGCAAUCUAUUCCACUUGAGUAGCCACCAAGACAGUGAUAAAGGUCGUAUUAUGUGGAUAAUAGGGGUAGAUAUGAGUUCAAGACGCAGUGAAAACAAAAAAUAGCAAUAAUAAAGUAGCACAGUCAUUUUA